rnacentral:misc_RNA from 1 species
UUUCCGUAGGUGAACCUGCGGAAGGAUCAUUAACGAGUUAGGGUCUUCUAGGCCCGACCUCCCAACCCUAUGUUUAUUGAACCUCUGUUGCUUCGGCGGACCCGCCUCACGGCCGCCGGAGGACCGCUGCAAGGCGUCCUCUGGCCAGCGUCCGCCGAUGGCCAACCACUUAAACUCUGAAUGAAUCGUGUCAUAUGUCUAAGUCUAUGAUUAAAUUAAAGCAGAACUUUCAACAACGGAUCUCUUGGUUCUG